CCUACGGGUGGCUGCAGUAGGGAAUAUUGCACAAUGGAGGAAACUCUGAUGCAGCGACGCCGCGUGAGUGAUGAAGGCCUUCGGGUCGUAAAGCUCUGUCGUAAGGGAAUAAAAAAAUGAAGGUACCUUACAAGAAAGGACCGGCUAACUUCGUGCCAGCAGCCGCGGUAAUACGAGGGGUCCUAGCGUUGCUCGGAAUCAUUGGGCGUAAAGCGGGUGUAGGUGGACAACUAAGUCAGAUGUGAAAGCCCCGGGCUUAACCCGGGAAGUGCAUU
rnacentral:rRNA from 1 species